GCCGAGGUGGCGGAACGGUAGACGCGGCGGACUUAAAAUCCGCUGCCCGCAAGGGCGUGUGGGUUCGAAUCCCUCCCUCGGCACCA
rnacentral:tRNA from 1 species